UGGUAAAAGAGUAAUACCUUUCACUUCAUCCAUCUCUUGAUAUCCAAGGCCAUGUAGAAGAGAUCGUAGAAGACGGUGUUCGAAGAAGCCCCAAUUGAGAACCAGCACCAGGGGAAGGAACGCCUCCCAGACCACCUGCUUCNUCUCCGCAUCCCCUGNAGCCUCGCCACUGUCGUUNCCACCAUCUCCACACGGUGAAGGCUAGGGUUUCAAGAUAAGGCNAACGCGAAAGAGACAUGCAUAGUGGAGACUAAGGUUUUAAGGGUUUAAGUGAAAGAGAUUGAUUUUCUAAGGAGAAGAAACACAAGGUGGAGUGAAGGUUUAAGAGAGAAGAGAUGCAGUGAAGGUUCGAGAGAGAAGAGGUGAAGUGAGGUGAAUUUGGGAUGUGAGAGACGGAAGCUCGAGAGAAGGUUCGAGUGAGGUGAAUUAGGAUCGACAUUUUCAGUAAAAGGGAUUAACCAAAAUUCAAUUUCUUUUAAAAAUAAUUUUUUAGAUCCGUAU
rnacentral:lncRNA from 1 species